AUUGAACGCUGGCGGCAGGCCUAACACAUGCAAGUCGAGCGAGCGUCGGACGGGUGAGUAAUGUAUGGGGACUGCCUCUUAGAGGGGGAUAACUACUCGAAACGGUAGCUAAUACCGCAUACUAUCGGAUAACCCAUAUGGGAUUAGCUAGUAGGUGGGGUAAAGGCUAACCCCGGCGACGCUCUCUAGCUGGUCUGAGAGGAUGAUCAGCCACACUGGGACUGAGACACGGCCCAGACUCCUACGGAGGCAGCAGUGGGGAAUAUUGCGCAAUGGGGGCAACCCUGACGCAGCCAUGCCGCGUGAAUGAAGAAGGCCUUCGGGUUGUAAAGUUCUUUCGGUAGCGAGGCGUUAACUACAGAAGAAGCACCGGCUAACUCCGUGCCAGCAGCCGCGGUAAUUC
rnacentral:rRNA from 1 species